rnacentral:lncRNA from 1 species
GCCAUGAGGGCGGGAACCCUCGUACGCGGAAGUUCAUGAGGGCGGGACCCUCGUACGCGGAAGGUCAUGAGGGCGGGACCCUCGUACGCGGAAGUUCAUGCGGGCGGGACCCUCGUACGUGGAAGGUCAUGAGGGCGGGACCCUCGUACGUGGAAGGUCAUGAGGGCGGAACCCUGGUACAUGAAAUUCGUUCUCUUAUUUAAGAGACAAAGAACGCCCUUGUUUUUUCCACCACGUGAUGGCGCAGACAGAAGACAACCAGCAUCUAUGAACCAGGAAGCCCCCACCAGGCACUGAAUCUGCCCCUGCGUGGAUCUUAGACUUGCAGACUCCAGAACUAACCUUACAAUGUCUCUUCUCCAUUAAGAAAACCUACUUCAACAUCUCCAUUGGUUCUCAACAUAGAGAAUGUAGCCGUAAACAAACCUCUUUCAUGUGAACCACUCAUCUCUCAAAGUGACAUUGGCCAGCCCCGGAGAGACACUGAAGUCAUGAAUCAAAAUAAAGAAAACCUAGAAGCCAACUUUCA